ensembl:lncRNA
CCUCCCAAAACCCCCACAAAAACCAGCCACAGUUUCCUAUCACAGGGGAUAUGACUCACGUCUCAGCAGGGGUACACAUACCUUAUUAUAGUCGCAAAAGAAAAAAAGAACAUGUCUCAAACAAAUGUCUCCCCCAAUAUCAUCUGCACAGGGCAGCUGUUUGUGAAAAUCUUUUUGAAACUUGCAAAGUAAUUUCUGUCUUUGUGGUUGGUCCAUAGUGCUGUGGCUUGUUUUCACCACAGUGACUCUUAAUUUAAGGAACAAAAUGAUGGCAAUGACUCCUUUAACCAUAAUCAGCUGAAUUCAGACUCAGUUUGGAGAUGAAUGGAAAGAGAAGGCCCUUGGCUGACCUGGCCUCUGGACCUCCCAGAAACUGCUCCCACACUCCAGGGGCUGUCCCAGAAGCCCCACAGGAUCCUAAGCUGGUAUCUUUGUUUCAAGUGGUGCAAAUUUCCCAUUCUCUGCAUGUACCGAGAAGAUUCGUGGAAUAGUCCCUGUGGAUACUUCUAGCUGUGGCUAAGAUUCUUAAUCCAGUGCCUUGGACCACUCUGCCACGCUACUCAGCUACAGCUAAGAUUUUUUACACCACAAAGACAACAAAAAUCAGAGUCAGCAAAUGGAAAUGGUGCUUGGGGCAAAAUCUGCAGGGGAGGAGGCCAAAUUUCCAGGAGUCAUUUCCCAGUGGGGGCCCUCAAGAUGGGCCCAUUUCUCUGGCAAUGAGUGAGGACAGCAGGUAGGAAAGGGGGAAUUAUCAGGGGUACUCCCCCAGAGAUGUUUGCCCAGGGGUUUCACUGUGGGCCUAGGACACAAUAAGAUUCCAGACUUAAGAGCCCUUUCUGUCCUUCUUUGGGUACUAUGAAAGCAGGUGUUCAGUCCGAACCAAUCCUUGUGUCAUUAGACAGACCACAUUGUUUGUCCCACUUUAGAAAUGUGGGGGACACUCCAGUGGCAGAAGCUUCUUUGUGUUAACUUGGAGGGGUGUUGGAAAGAGAUGAACAUUUGAAUCAGUGGGUAUCUGUGGCUAUAAAUAACAUAGAGGAGCCCAUCUAGUGAACAAGAGGCCUGGAAGAAUAAUACCCAGCCUGCCUCCCUGAGCAAGAGUGAAAUCCUGAACAGACGCUUCUGGACUUCAAAUCAGCUCACCGGUGUUUCUUCCCACCAGCCCGUGGACUGGAACUGCACAUCAGCUCUUUUGAGUCUAAAGCCUGCCUAGCUACUCUGCAGAUUUUGGACUCACUAUCAGUGGCUUGUUAGUCAGUUUCGUACAAGACACUUUCUUCUCAUCCUACUGGUUCUGUUUCUCCAGAAACCUUGACCCCUCCCCAAACUAAAUUUUUCCAGAUACCAGCCAAGCCUCAACCUUGCAAGUAGAUUUUGCAAGAAUUGCAGAGCCCUUGAGAGAAGUCUCCCUCCACUGUGCCUUCCUGUUAACUCAUUUCUGCACAUUACUAACUUGCGUGCCAGAAGUCACAUGGAUGUUAAACCAUGGAGCAGUGGAGCUCACAAGCAAUCAUGGAGUUGAAGAAAAAGUACAUGGACAGAAGUUGACUGUUAGUGUAGGAAUGGUUGAGACAGCGGGCACAGAACCCGGAUCAGUGGCUUUCCUGGGGUAGGGGAACAUUCAAUGAGGACUCCAGAGUAAUGAGACUAAUUGUGGAGGACUGAAGAAGGCUAGAAACUCUUUGCCAUUCCUUACACGAAUAAGUAGAGUUGAUUUCCUGUAUUCCUAGAUCUGGAAUGGUAUGUAUUUACUGUCUCUAAUAGAAUGCAGUCAGUGUGGCAUUGUGGGAGUCCUGGAAAGGAGCUUUAAGCAGCCUGGCCCUUUUGUGUUUCUGUUCUUGGGACCCCUGAAUAGACAGGUGAUGAUGCCUGAGUACCUGCUGAAGAAACCAAGAGAAGGGGUGAGGGAGAACAGCCAGACACAAUAGGACCAGCUGUUCCAACUGAGGUGACACCCAGCUAAUUAAUGUCACUGUGCCUUAGCCAAAGUCAGCCUCAGAGGAAGCGUUGGAUAAAGACAGACUGUCAUAGCAUCACCCUGCAGGGUCCCACGGUGACCACGGAAUCAUGAACAAAUAAUACAAUGAGGUGGCUUGAAGCCAGUAACUGUGGGCAUCUGACUUCACAGCAAGAGAUAAGCAUUACAGAGUGGCAGCUGGGACAGUCGGAGCACAGUGGCUUCCUUGUAAUGAUGGAGCCCAGAGCAAAAAGCAGGAGCAAGACAUCUGAGCUGAGGCAGCAGGGCGGCUCGGAUCUUUUCCUGCCAGUUUUCCACUGUUUCACAACACUGACGUGUGUCACUUCACAGCAAAAACAAUCUGUACCCUUCUGAAUGAGGCACUACCCCGGAAUCUCUUCCAGACCUCAUCAGCCCUCAAACCACGGUCUGUGAGCAGCCGAGGGAGAUCCCAUACACAGUGAGUCAUGUUUAUCUUUGGAGUGCUGAACGCCUUGUGUGGAUCUUAGGUCACCGCUGACCCGUAGCCUGCAGCUUGUUUCUUCACCGGGAGCCAAAACACAGUGCAUAACCUCAUCUCCGGCAACAUUCUCAACAGGGCCCGAGUGUCUGUGCACGGGUGCCAAAUGUGCCUACAGUGAGUCCAGAAAUGUAAGAAUUGCCCACAGCCAGUCUGGCCGAUUUUCUGGACAGUACUGUUGAGGUACUUAAUUACAACACUUAAAUCUAAAUGUGCGUAUCCAGGCACUGGAUGCUCCAUUUAUAGCACAAGGGGAAUUCACCUAUCCAUUUAGCAACACAGCGGGGGAGGGGGGCUGGAGGGUGGGGGGGACACUUAGCCUGUCACAGACACAUUUAGAAGCCGUGCUUCCUGAACUCCGGGGAUUGCUUUUAUGUCUCUCACAAGAGAUAAGACAGGAUCAUAAGGGGAUCUGGUCAAGGCAACACAUGGGUAAAUGGCAUAACAGAGAAUACGGUGAGAGGAAAGUUCGGGGAUGGCGGACAUCACUUCUGGCCAAAGGAAAUAGAAACUUGAAAGAUUUCUUAGAAGUGUAAUCUAUCACCCUCAAACUCGGCAUUUAAAAGCCCCACACAGUUAUUAGCUAUAUGACCUUGUGCAAAUCAUAAAUUUUCGACGUCUUAGUUUGCUUAUCUUUUUAAAAGGAAGGGUUGGGCUAAGCGAUCUUAAAGGUUUUUCUGCUCUAAAGACCUGGGAUACAUGAGUUUUCAUGAGAAGACCCAGCUAAAUGUGUGACAAUCUAUUCUUCAUACAACCAGAGUGGCUUUUAAAACCCAAAUAAGAUAAUGUUUCCCAUGGCUUAAAACCCUUUCAUGGCAGCAUUUCAAAGAAAGCCCAAACUCUUGUGAUGCGCAGUUGCCUGUGCUCCCAGCAACUCUGACUCCCCCAUCCUCCCUCUGGCCUUCACCCAUUCACCCAGGGGCUUCUUUCCCUCUGUCUGAAUGUAGGAAUUGUAUUUUUCAGGGUAGCUGUGUUUCAAUUCUUGUUCCUCUGAACCCCUGCUUCCUCUGAGCUAGGCAGCCUGGGAGUGGAAAACAGUACCACCCAGGAAUCCUGGCAGGGUGAACCGUUGCAGGGAGAGCUGGCAAGGCGGAGUGUAGGCUUCUCCUUUGCUCUAUACUGACUUUCAGAUCCAUCUCUUGACUUCUCCCCACACUUCCAUCUCUGGCUUUCAGGGCUUUCAAUUGCUGAAGGUUUUUGGGGAGGCUUGACAAUGUGCCUUAGAUCCACUACUAAGUGCUCAGUGUUUUGCAUUGUGCUAGCCCACCCAACCUUGCACUUUUCAGCUUACAAAAAUGUCUUCACUCUUAGAGUCUACAAUCCUCUCCUCUCCUCUCCCCUCCCCUCUCCUCCUCUUCUCUCUUCUACUCUCAUUUCUUCUCCCCUUCUUUCCUCUCCUCUUCCCCUCUCCUUGGCCUUAUCUCCCUCUCCUUCUCCCUUCCCCCCCUCCUUGCCACUCAGUUCUCUCCUUUCCUCUCUCUUUUUUUGUCCCUCCCUUCUUUCCACCCAUUCUCUCUGUCUUUGUUUGUGCAAAGACAAGGAUUAAGGAAUGCCUCAUUUCUCCCGUGUUUAGAUGGAGUGCAUCUGGUUUCCUCUUAUGGUUGUUCCUCCUUGUUUAGGUAUUAGUUAAUGUAAGAGCUGGAUUCCAGUGCCUGUUCUGAGCCCCAGUAGGUCCCUCCUGGAACUGUUUAUUAAAGAGUCCUGCUGGCUUCUUUCUCAACAUUUGCUGUAAUAUUCAGCUAUGUUGUCAUUACUUAGCAAUUCAGUGAUUUUAAGUCUACCGCUCCCACUACAAUGCACUCACAGGGGAGGCAGGGGCCAUCCUUUUCCUCCCAUCAGUUAGUGCUAAGUGCUUAACACAGUACCUCAUUUUGGACAAAUGCUUGAGGAUUCCUCCUAAUGAAUGUUGGCACUCUCCAUUAACUGAGAUUUGCUGAGGGGAAAACGGGGUGAAAAGAGACAAAGAUCAGCAAAUCACACGAGGGAGAAGACUCAGGAACAUCAUCUUUGGUGUGCAAACUUUAGAAUAGGAGCUGUAAGACCUCUCAGAUGAAUUAUGUAACAGGGGACAGAGAUAAUGAUAUCCCAAAUGAAUUACAUAAGAGUGAGGGGCAGAGUUAACGAUUGUACAUUCACUCCUGAGGCUGCCGUACAAUUACAAUGAGUCCAUAUAGGUAGAGCUGUGGGAGCAGUGUCUGGCACGUAGUGUUGGAGUAGUUGGUUGGCGAUGGAAGCUGUAUAUCCAAGACCUGUUCAUUGCUUUAAGCCUCUGUGGUUAUUCAGGAAUAUUUAUUGCACCGAAUAACUAAUGCAAUGUACAACUGGUGGAAAUCUCACAAAGCAACCCAAAACCUCAUUUCCUUCCUCUCAUGGGUUGUCAAACCUGUUUACCAGAUUUCAAAGCUCUCUUUUGUUAUUUUGACUUUUUGUGUGUUUGUGUAUUGUUUGUUUGUUUGGCUACUACUACAGUCUGAAUCCAUCACAGCAAAUUUCAUAUGGAAACUCAGUCGCUAUUUUGUUACAAUUAAAACACAGGGCCUGCAAGAAAUCCUGGAUCACAGGGGUCAGCUCUCAGCUGGGAUUAGUGCUCCAUAAAUGACCCUGAUGGUAUCUGCUAGCCUCUCCAUUAUGAGGACAUAGCUUACAAGCUUCGUAUCAAACAUGACAUCUCUUUGUCCCUCCCUCACUCACCAAGAAGUCUACCACACCUGUGAGUACAUGGGAAGCACACAUUGAACUUGGUGGGCUAUAAGAGGCUGGGAAAAGGCUGGGGUGGAUCUGGAGGAGUUAGGGGAAUAGUGUAAAUGAAAAUGAUCAAAGUGCAUCACAUGUGUGUAUGAAAUUUUCAAAGGAUUAGCCAAAAUGUUAUAUUAAAUAAAAGAGCUCUACCACUAAGCUGUAUUCCACCUACAAACACCGAACAUUCUGAUGUCUUUUUCUGGCACCUCUGAGCCUCCAGAAAAGGGAGGACUAAAUCACUGCUUUUCAUAACUCAACUAAGCUGUGUGUGAGAGAGGGGUACACGUGUGUCAAGCUAUGGUUGUGAAGGGCUACACAGGCCAAGGUAUGGGCAUGGAGGUGUGUGUGGGAGGAGGGCUACACAUGUACCAGGGUAUGGUGAUGGGGGAUGUUCUUCUGUAUGCUGUGAAUAUACAAUAUACGUUUCUCUUAUUGGUUGUUGAAUAAAGCUGUUUUGGCCGAUGUACUGGCGGGAUGUAGUCAGGCAGGAAGAAUAGGCAGGGCUACCAGACUAGAAUUCUGAGAAGAGGAACAGAGUGAGUGAGUUGUGGGAGAGAUGCCAUGUAGCUGCCCAGAAAGAAAGAGGUCUGGACAUCACCAGUAAGCCAAGACCACAUGGAGAUACACAGAUUAAUAGAAAUGGGUUAAAAAUUAAGAGAGAGCUAGCCAAUAAGAAGCCUAAGCUAUAGGCCAAACAGUUUAUAAUUAAUAUAAGCCUCUGUGUAUAUAUUGGAGAUUAAACAGCUGCAGGGCUGGUCUACAUAUGGAUGAGGAGGUAUGGGGAGUACACAUGUACCAGGAGUACGGUUAUGCAGGCAUGGGGGGAGGGGUAACACAUGUGCCAGGGUAUGGAUGUGGAGGUCAGAGGACAAUUUAAAGACUUCGUUCUCUGCUUGCACUAUGUGGGUUCCAGGGAUUGAACACAGGUUAUCAGGAUUGGUGACAAGUGUCUAUACCUCCUUAGCUAUCUCACUGGUCCCCAGUUUGCUUCCAGAGAUGUCAUGUCCUUUUUCUUAGGCAGCAACUCGUGACAGUCAUCCCAUGAUAGCAAGGUUCCCUCUAAGACUCAUCAUCUCUUGCCUUGGACCACCACUGGCAACAUCAUGAGGCCAGGAAACACCUCUCUGCCUCUCAGGCUAGUCACAAGCUAAUCUCAGCUAAACAACAAAGCUUACCAAAGAAUUGAAUUAGUUAUUUCCAUAAAAGUGGAUCCUCUUUUAUACAUGACCCAUCAUUAAUAGUUCAAAAUCCUCAGACUCUAGCUAAGCCAAAUGUCCUGAAUCCCAUGUAUUCUGGGGACAGAAUUAUAUUUCACUGUAGGGACAUUUUCCUUGACCUUCUGUUGCCAAAUACUUUACUCCAGAGUUUUCUGCUCCUUCCCUUCUUGUCCCUCUUUCCUCAUUCAUCUUACCUAAAACACACACAGGCACACACACACACACACACACACACACAGAGAGAGAGAGAGAGAGAGAGAGAGAGAGAGAGAGAGAGAGAGAGAGAAAGAGAGAGAGAGAGAUUCUGAUUAAGGCUAUUCUUGUUGCCAUGUAAGACUUGCUGGCCAAAUUGUGGUGAAAUUUAACAAUGUGGUGAGAACAAGAAAUUGUGGCGUCGGGGAUAAGUAGUGUCCUGGUGAUGCCAGGGGCUACUCGUCGAGCUGACCGUGUGCUGAAAAUGGCAGACACUUCUUAAAAUGGCCCUUGGAAGAGCCAAUGGGAAUCCCAAGUAAAUGUCAGCCUUCUUGCUGACAGACAGGGAGGGGGAGUUGGGGAAGAGGGACUUCUAUUUUCCCAGUCAGGGUGAAUUUCCUCCAUUGUGAUAAGUGACCUCUUCUAUUUCCUAGCAAACUAGAUUAUAACCCUCCAAAAUGAAACACCUCGCCACUAAUACCUUCAUGAAAUGGGGUGGACAGCUGUUGUAUUUGCCUGUCUAGGCUGUAUCACUCUCUAGUCUGAUAACAGUCCGCUGGGAUCAUGGUGGGGGACAGCUCACUCCAUACUGGUGUCUAGGGCAGGCUCAAGACUCAAGCUGUGUCACCCCAGAAAGGAACACACUUGCCAAAAAAACUUUCUAAAAUGAAACUCAUUCACAUGCCUUGAUUCCAACCUCAGUAACCUGAAGAGGAUCCAGGCUGAACCUAGGCUCUCAUAGCUGCUCACACACCUGUACUGAGACCGGACUCUUAUGCCAUCAUUUUUAUUCUGGGAGCCAGUCCUAGACUUUUCUUUCUCUUUCCUUUUGAAAUCUUACAAUAUGGGUCUCUUGUGUCUUGUGUCUUCAGUCAAAUACCUCAAAGACCCAGUGGAAGAAGAGAUGGACCUGGGAUAUCACGAGAGGAAAUGUUGUAACCAUGCUCAUUCAUUAUUUGCUCUAUUGGGGAGUCUGUGGUGUUUCCCAAAAGUAUAUGUGCUAAAAAGGCAUAGUCCCAGCUUGGUUUUAUUGACAAAUGGCAGAACCUUUAGGAUAUUAGACCCAGGGAGAGGUCACUGGGGAUGCAUCUCUGCAGGGGACAGUGAGACUCUUGCCAUUCUUUGCUCCUUCUUUGCCUUUUCUACCUCAUCUGUACCAUAUGUUCAUACCACAAGAGUCUGUGCUGCCACUGGCCCAAAGCAGUGGGAUCAAGCAACUAUGAACCCUCUAAGUCUGCGAACCCAAAUAAAUGUGUCUUCUCAUAAGUAGAUUUAUUUCUAGUAUUUAUUGUGAUAGCAAAGAUUUGACAAAAACAAACAUGUACAGCAGGAAAGCCUGAUUCUCUCAUUUCUUGUUCAUGUUCAUUUCACCAUGAAGUCACAAAUUUCACGGCAACCCUCCUUCCCCCUACCAUAGCCAUCAUUUCUUUACUGAAUACAUUUUGAACACCUGCUGUAUGUCAGACUGUGAUUGUAAUGGCAAAAAUUCUGUUUUUGGUGAGGCUUGCAUUCCAAAAGGAAAAAGAGACAUUACUGAAGCAAACAAGUAGAUUAGCAAAGCAGCUGGACACAACAGUAUGAAAUAGGAGAAUGGCACAGAGUAACCACAGCCUUGUGGUUAGGGGAAACCUGCCUGAAGAGCAGACUUUCAAGACAUAGAUCAUUUUGGGGGAAGCAACCAUGUGAAACUAUGUGGGAAGGAAUGUUAUCUAGGCAAACAAAACAGCAAGGGAAAAGCCCCGACGUGGGGACAAGCAUGAUGUAUCACAACACAUGUGAGAGAAAGAUACAAAAUGGCCAAGGACAUUUGCAGGGGCCAAGUCAUGCUUGGGCUUCUAGACUUCACUAAGCUAAGAAGUUUGGAUUCAUCUUCAUUACUGCUGCAGUAAAAUGUGCCCUGUUCUGGUUUGGAACAAGCGGAAGCAUACGUGAAUUUCUGUCUUACACUGAAAGUUCCCUGUGACUCUAGUUUAAUGAUUUGCGACUGUUGCUGCUGCAACACUAACUGAGAAAUUUCCUAAGUGGAUGCAGACAAACUAAACUAAGGAGGAUCCAGUGUGCAUUGGAGACCCAGAGCUGUACCGGGGAUAGCUUUCCUCAGGGUGUGCUUCUGCAGCUCUUCUCAUGAUGGCUCCAUCAAGAAAGGGCUUCAUAGUUAGCUACUUAAUGGAAGAAACCGGAUUUGAACCCAGAGUGACUGACUUCAGCAUCCAAGAUCCUCCAUUUCCUACUCUACCCUGGAGAGCACUUAAAUUCUCACUAGCAGAUUAACCUUCAUGGAGAGUUGACAGAGUAAUGGAUAUGGCUUGAGAAGGGGUAUGUAUAAUCAAGAGGAACUGCUUAUAUGAUGGCUAAGAGAAGAAGAGAAGGUAAAGUUUUAUGAGGGACAGUAACUUUUGCCGGUUGAAGUAAAAACAAAAAACUAUGAGUUAAUAUAUCCAGAGAGGCAAAGUCAUUUCAAAGGACAAUCUCCAAGCCAAAGUUCAGGACUGUUUAAAAAUUAUUGAAAGGGACAAUGGGAGUGCCUGUCCAGUUGAACAAAGAGGAGCGAUGUCAAAACAGUACUUGAUAAAGACAUACUCUGAGUCGGUCUUUGAUUUAAGAAAGUGGCCUUUGGCUUGUGGAAUGAGAUAAAAUCCAAGUUUCUGAGGCCUUUUAGGAGACCCUUUGUCAUAAUUUUCCUCCAGUCUGACAACUUCUCUGUGGGGAUGCACUUUCUUCACAGUAGCUGGAGAAUCUGAAGGGAGCCAGAAGCCAGGGCCUUAGAUCCUGUUUUCACUUCCAGCCUCCACUCACAACCACUUCCCAGAAGGCCUUGCAAGUCCCUGAUGGAAUCAGGGAGGGAAGAUUGAUGGCAAGAGGCAGAAAAGUCAACUAUAGAAAUGUUAGGACAGGGUGGAAGAUGAGAAUUAUGAGUUUAUAUUCUGUGUUCAGACGACCUAGGUUCAAAUGCAGGUGACUGUUGACUAACAACAUGACUAGGGCGAGAUGACUAUCCUCACUGUACCUCAGUUUCCUUAAUUGUAAAAUAUGAUAGUAAUAAUAAUACCUACUCUGCAGAUCACUGUGAAGAUCAAAUGAGGAGAUCAAAGUCACAGAUGCGGGCUACCAUCCCCACAAGCUGAAACAAACAGAUCACAUCAGUUAUCAAAAGGGGGAAGAGAUCAAGGAAAUCCCAAGUAUAAGGAGAAAUAACACACAGUCCCUGGAUCUCCACAGAUUGAAAAACCUGCUGAAGAUAGUAAUUAUGGAGGAUGUUUUCCAAAGAAUAUCAGAGCACAUCUGGAAACUAAAUAACAACGGUGAGGGUUCCAAUCAGCUGGCGUUUUCCAGAUAAUCCCUUAAGACAAUUAAUAAAAUGCUGC